GUGGGGAAUAUUGGACAAUGGGCGCAAGCCUGAUCCAGCCAUACCGCGUGGGUGAAGAAGGCCUUCGGGUUGUAAAGCCCUUUUGUUGGGAAAGAAAUCCUGUCGGUUAAUACCUGGCGGGGAUGACGGUACCCAAAGAAUAAGCACCGGCUAACUUCGUGCCAGCAGCCGCGGUAAUACGAAGGGUGCAAGCGUUACUCGGAAUUACUGGGCGUAAAGCGUGCGUAGGUGGUGGUUUAAGUCCGUUGUGAAAGCCCUGGGCUCAACCUGGGAAUUGCAGUGGAUACUGGAUCACUAGAGUGUGGUAGAGGGAUGCGGAAUUUCUGGUGUAGCAGUGAAAUGCGUAGAGAUCAGAAGGAACAUCCGUGGCGAAGGCGGCAUCCUGGGCCAACACUGACACUGAGGCACGAAAGCGUGGGGAGCAAACAGGAUUAGAAACCCGGGUAGUCC
rnacentral:rRNA from 1 species